GUCCAUGUAGCUAGGGUAAAAGGAAUGGGAGUAGUUAUUGUUCAUUUCUGACUUUGAGGGGAAAACAAAAGAAGAGCACUCGAACGGAAGAAAUUGAUAUUGACGACGAGUGUCUCGGUAAAGACUAGCCAAACUCGUUCAGAUUAUGAACGUUCUAAAGCUUUGUGAAAAGGGAGUGAUAAAUCUUGAAGAUUCGUGGCUCGGGUUCGACAUUCAAGGUAUAUUAAGACUUUUUAAACUUUGUUCAAGGAAAUUUUCAUAAGUAAAGAUUAAAAAAUAAAAUAGACAAGGGGUAAGGACGAAAUAUGGGGGGACUCAUACCAAUGGUGUGACAGGCAUUAGUACGAGUACCGUGGUAUAAAGGGGAAAUUUAUUAAUAUAGAAUGCAAAUUUUAAUCCUAGAAUGCCAGAGCAUAUGGGCAUUAGGUGAUAUAAUAUUGAUUUGAAUUCUUUGUAUUUUGUGUUUUCUUAAUUCCACCCUAUAGUUGAGAUAAUUGAGGUUGUGUUAUGUAUUACAUUGAUAUUGAUUGAUUGAGAUACAUCAUAAUUCCCUUUAUUGGAACAAUAUUGUGCACAUACAUUGACAUGAUAUUGAGUAUGAGUUGGGCACGUGGCGAUCGUCCGUGCUAGGGAUAGUGAGAUGCUAAGAUUAUUACUUGGUCACGUGGAUAUCGUUAAUGCGAAAAUUGUUUAAUUUUAAGAUAGUGCAUUGAGAUAGUUCACACAUACACGUGGAAAUCAUCUAUGUCAGUAUAUGGACCUCGCGAUUAUCCAUGGGUCAUGAACUCUCUAUGUAUUCUCGAGGAGUAUCAUCUAUACGGUUGAGAGAGAGUAUUGAGUAUUAUGAGACAUAUCAGAUCUGGUGUCAUAUAGCAUUCCAUCUCAUGAAAUUUUUCAUUCAUAAUGAUUAUGUAUUUUUAGUGAUGGUUGGAAUGUACUUGAUAUCUGAAUUACCUCUAUUUGAUGAAAUUGAGUGGUAAGUUUAAUAUAAACUUGUAUAAUUAAUGAAUUGAUUUUUCUUAUAUAAACUCCCGUCACUACUAUCGGUCAAUGAUAUAUAUUGGGAACAUGCGGUUUCUUACUAAUACUACACUUGUUGCACUCUUUGUGGUGGAGAUUGAAUUAUAAGUGUGAGCACAUCUCAUGGAGAAAUUUCAGGCUGAGCUUGGAGUUUCUUGGAGUUGUGGUCUGCCGCUUGGCUGCUUCGUAGCCCACACAUCCCUCUAUCUUUUACUUAUUCUAUUAUUUUAGUAUUCAGAUAGGAAAUCACUUACGUUGGAUUUUUUCAUUUUAGUUUCAGACUUGCAUAGCAUUUAGAAGGUCUUGUACUUAUGACACCAAUUAUUGAGUAGUAUUUUAGCUUUUUACAUUUUGUAAUUAUAAAGAACUCAAUGUUGGAUAUUU